rnacentral:rRNA from 1 species
UACGGAGGAUGCGAGCGUUAUCCGGAUUUAUUGGGUUUAAAGGGUGCGUAGGCGGACGCUUAAGUCAGCGGUAAAAUUGCGGGGCUCAACCUCGUCGAGCCGUUGAAACUGGGUGCCUUGAGUGGGCGAGAAGUACGCGGAAUGCGUGGUGUAGCGGUGAAAUGCAUAGAUAUCACGCAGAACACCGAUUGCGAAGGCAUCUCACGAAUCCGCGAUUGACGCUGAUGCACGAAAGCGUGGGUAUCAAACAGG